GAUGAAUGCUGGCGGCGCGCCUAACACAUGCAAGUCGAGCGGUAACAUGGACUUCGGUCUGAUGACGAGCGGCGGACGGCUGAGUAACGCGUGGGAACAUGCCCCAAAGUGAGGAAUAAGCUCCAGAAAUGGAGUCUAAUGCCGCAUAUGAUCUUCGGAUUAAAGGAUUUAUCCGCUUUGGGAGUGGCCUGCGUAUGAUU
rnacentral:rRNA from 1 species